UUUCCAUUAUUUACCAUUUCAAAAUAAUAAUGAAUGAUUUUUUUUAAAAAAAAAAUAUUAAAUUAUUAAUAAAGUAAUUAAAAGGUCAUUAGACCUAUCAUAUCAAUCACUCUCUCACCUCACCAGCUCACCUUAUUACUCCACGCCACAUUAAAUAAAAAUUUAAAAAAAAAAAUUGCUAAAAAGGAAAUAAAUUUCCUUUACCACUUAAUAACUUAAAACCCUAUUUCUUUCUUCUCUAAUCUAUCUGUGCCUCUCUUUCUUUCUUCUCUCUAUCUGCGCCUCCUUCUCCAACCUCUUUUUUUUUCUUCUGUCCAUAGCUAACCAUAACUCCGGCGACAGGCUGUCAAAAUGAACAGCAGAACCAAAAUCCUUACCCCCCAAAACCUAUGGAUAUGCCACUCUCUUUUGCGUUUUGUCGAUGAAGGUUCGUGUCAAUGGAGCUUCAAGUUUCAAGGCAGUUCGUGCACGACAUCUUCGGAGCUUCGAAAAUCAGGGUUGUUUUGUGGAUGACAGAGCUUCAAAGCUUCGAGGUUCGUGGUUGUUUGAAGUCGACUGAGCUGUGGGGUUCAUAGUGGUUCAUUUUCGACGAAUGAUUGGGGUUCGCCACUGUUUGUGGUCGACGAAAACUGUUGUGAAUUUUUUUUUUGUUCUGAAAUGGUUCUGUAAUUUUUUUAGGUUCAAAUACAUAUAUAAUUUGUAGGAUUUUUUUGCUUGUUGUAAGAUUAUUUUGUAUAUAUAAUAUAUAUUUCUCUUCUAAAAUUAAGAUUUCAGAUGUAUUGUAAUAUUAUGCAGUAUAGAUUAUUAAAAGAAAUAUACUUAGUAUUG